rnacentral:lncRNA from 1 species
UCAAGUCUUGGUCAAAAAUUAAUUUAGAUUGAUGGAAUUUGUUUUAGGAGGGAAAAUAAGUCUUGGGCCCUUUUUAAUUUUCAAGACUUGAGUUUUUCUCAUACUUCUCCUUAAAACAUGGGUCCUUAAAUCAUGGAGAAGUGGUUGAGAAGUGAUAUAAAGUCUUUUGGUGGUUGGGGUCUUUCAAGACUAACAAGUACAUACACCUUUUUCCUUCACCUUUUAGGAUCUAAUAUUCACUUUAUGUUCUAACAAUAUAUGAAGGAAGGUGAAGAACUUAAAGAACAACAACAACCACACCAAGAACAAUAACAACAAUCUUCAAGAACAACAACAAUUCCAACGGCCAACUCCA